UGGGGAAUAUUGGACAAUGGGGGCAACCCUGAUCCAGCAAUUCCGCGUGUGUGAAGAAGGCCUGCGGGUUGUAAAGCACUUUCAGUAGCCAAGAUGGGAUUAUUCAUUAAUACUGGAUAGUCUUGACAUUAACUACAGAAGAAGCACCGGCUAACUCCGUGCCAGCAGCCGCGGUAAUACGGAGGGUGCAAGCGUUAAUCGGAAUUACUGGGCGUAAAGAGUACGUAGGCGGCUUUACAAGUCGGGUGUGAAAGCCCUGAGCUUAACUCAGGAACUGCAUUCGAUACUGUAUCGCUAGAGUUUAUUAGAGGAUAGCGGAAUUCCAGGUGUAGCGGUGAAAUGCGUAGAUA
rnacentral:rRNA from 1 species